UCUCGGCUUAUCACCGGCAGUCCCCUUAGAGUGCCCAACUCAAUGAUGGCAACUAGGGGCGAGGGUUGCGCUCGUUGCGGGACUUAACCCAACAUCUCACGACACGAGCUGACGACAGCCAUGCAGCACCUAGUUUCGUGUCCUUGCGGACGCUACCAUCUCUGGUAACUUCACUAACUUUCAAGCCCGGGUAAGGUUCCUCGCGUAUCAUCGAAUUAAACCACAUGCUCCUCCGCUUGUGCGGGCCCCCGUCAAUUCCUUUGAGUUUCACCCUUGCGGGCGUACUCCCCAGGUGGAAUACUUAACGCUUUCGCUUAGCCGCUGACUGCGUAUCGCCAACAGCGAGUAUUCAUCGUUUAGGGCGUGGACUAC
rnacentral:misc_RNA from 1 species